AACCAUUCUCACCUGCGGCUAGACCUGCGGAAGGAUCAUUACAGAGUUGCAAGACUCCCUAAACCAUUGUGAACCUACCUUCUACCGUUGCUUCGGCGGGCGGGCCCAGCGCCCCCCCCGGCCCCCCGCGGGCGCCCGCCGGAGGAUACCCAAACUCUUGACAUUAGUGGCCUCUCUGAGUAUUCUUUACUGAAUAAGUCAAAACUUUUAGCAACGGAUCU
rnacentral:misc_RNA from 1 species